GGAUAGCCUUUCGAAAGAAAGAUUAAUACCUGAUGGUAUGAUGAGAUUGCAUGAUAGCAUCAUUAAAGAUUCAUCGGUGUACGAUGGGGAUGCGUUCCAUUAGGUAGUAGGCGGGGUAACGGCCCACCUAGCCUACGAUGGAUAGGGGUUCUGAGAGGAAGGUCCCCCACAUUGGAACUGAGACACGGUCCAAACUCCUACGGGAGGCAGCAGUGAGGAAUAUUGGUCAAUGGACGAGAGUCUGAACCAGCCAAGUAGCGUGAAGGAUGAAGGUCCUACGGAUUGUAAACUUCUUUUAUAAGGGAAUAAAACCUCCCACGUGUGGGAGCUUGUAUGUACCUUAUGAAUAAGCAUCGGCUAACUCCGUGCCAGCAGCCGCGGUAAUACGGAGGAUGCGAGCGUUAUCCGGAUUUAUUGGGUUUAAAGGGAGCGCAGACGGGUCGUUAAGUCAGCUGUGAAAGUUUGGGGCUCAACCUUAAAAUUGC
rnacentral:rRNA from 1 species